rnacentral:rRNA from 1 species
AUUGAACGCUGGCGGCAGGCCUAACACAUGCAAGUCGAGCGGAUGAGAGGAGCUUGCUCCUUGAUUUAGCGGCGGACGGGUGAGUAAUGCCUAGGAAUCUGCCUGGUAGUGGGGGAUAACGUUCCGAAAGGAACGCUAAUACCGCAUACGUCCUACGGGAGAAAGCAGGGGACCUUCGGGCCUUGCGCUAUCAGAUGAGCCUAGGUCGGAUUAGCUAGUUGGUGAGGUAAUGGCUCACCAAGGCGACGAUCCGUAACUGGUCUGAGAGGAUGAUCAGUCACACUGGAACUGAGACACGGUCCAGACUCCUACGGGAGGCAGCAGUGGGGAAUAUUGGACAAUGGGCGAAAGCCUGAUCCAGCCAUGCCGCGUGUGUGAAGAAGGUCUUCGGAUUGUAAAGCACUUUAAGUUGGGAGGAAGGGCAUUAACCUAAUACGUUAGUGUUUUGACGUUACCGACAGAAUAAGCACCGGCUAACUUCGUGC